UGAGUACUGCAUCUACAGACACAGCUGAUUUUAAAUAUUUUAUAAAAUUUAUAAACUUUUAUAUAAUUAACAUUUUAAUGUUAACCAGAAUUGUACGUUGACUGAGGUUGAUUAUUUGUGUUUUUAUUUUGUUUUGAUAUUUGUGCUAAAAUAUUUGCAUUAGAAUUAUCUUCAGUUUGAUCCAAAUUAGGAACUAUUGUAUUUUCGUCUAUUAAAAAAUUAUGCACCAUGAAACCUAAAUUUAUAGUUUGAACUUUACUAGGAGCUAAAUAUAUGGUUAUUAGUAGAACAGUAGUCCAUACCAAACGGUAUAUUAAGUAUCAAUAAAAGAUUUAUAAAUAAUACCUACAAAAACACAAAUAAAUUCAUCAAUACAUUAUCCCAUUUUCAUUUCAGCCGCCAUUAUGAGUAAGUAAUUUUGACAUUUUAGAUGUUUUACCAGCAGGUUUUACGUUUUUGCUCUUUGCGCAGAAAUUGGCGCAGUUCUUGUACAAUAAUCUGUGCCUGACACAAAUUCUUGUAUCGUUUCUGAUAUCGUUUCUUGUAUCUGUGUAUGACACUAUGCAUUUUUUUGACAUAUCAGAAACGAUAUUAGAAAUGAUACAAGAAAAUGUAUAGUGUCAUACAGCCUUUAGGUUGUACAACGGUUGUAAUACUUAGGGAUGAGUAAUGCUUUUAGCGUUCUUUUAGUGUGGUGAAAGUACAAAGCUCAAAAGAGAAGGACUUCGUGCUUUAGGCUUCAGUGGCUAGAUGUCAUCGUGAACAUUGAUAGAGCUGCGGCUAAAGCUCGCCCUGAUGGAAUACAAUGUUGCCUAAUUUACUGUUCCGUUCCGUCACAAAUCGUCUGUCAUUCCAUUCAAGUCAUUCUGUCAAAAACAAAUUUGGUUUUGUUCUUGUUUUCAAGAAAGUUCUACAAUAUUUUGUUUUGUUCUGUGUUAAGUUCUAUUUUCUAUUUGGUUCUAUUUUUUAGUCAUGAAGUUAAGUAGUAUCGUGGGAUAUUUGAAGUUCUUGGGUACUGAAAAUUCAAGAAGUUUUAAACUCUGGUCAUCUUAUUUUGGCUGGAAAAAUAGAGGAAGUUCUGAGCAUACCAUCAAAAUAUAAUAUGGUUUAUUCCUUCAGUAAGGUCCAAUCCCCACGAAAUUAAAGGAACCCUACCUUUCACAAAUGGCAUGAGCAUUAGCCAAAUGUUCUUGUAAAGCAGAAAAUAGUGGAAAAUGUAAACAUGUCUCUACUCUUGUUAAAUGGAAAAUGUGAAAUUAAUGGAACAUUCAGUACAUGAGCUGAAAAAAAUGUUAACAGAUUGGCAAAUGAAGACCAUUUUUAAUUGAUCUAAACAUUUAUAGAAACAAAGUAUAUGGUUAAUAUAAAUAUUACCUGCCAAGUAACUUGGUGUACAAAUCAAUAGUAACCAUAAUUUUUAUUCCCAGGGCCAGUGAGAAACAAUGUGCAUUUGAUUUCUAAGUGUUCUAAGGAAAGAUCUCGUAAGAAUAAAUAGAUCUGUACAAUGAAGAUUAACCUAAUCUGUUUAACCAUCGAAAUUAUUGUAUUGUUAUAAAAAUAAUAAAUCUAUAUUUCAUAUUAUUUACACUUACAUACAUUAACCUGGAAUUUCAUUGUGUCUACAUUAGUGGCCAUAGUCACAAACCUACCCUAGUCAACGGAGGUACUGUCUUUCGCAGAUGUGGUAAUACCGGGUUUGAUACAUUAUUGCUAAAUAAACUUUGUGAAUAGUAACUUUUCACAAAAUAGACAAAAUAGAGUUUUAAUAGUUUUUACUGUACUCAAAUAUUUUUUAACAUUCAGUGGUAAUAACAUAUUAUAUUUUGUUUUGGUAUUUAAAUUUACCUAAAUAUUUAUAGAAAUAUACUAUACUAAAUUCAAGAUGCAGUAGAAAUAAACAAACCAAGACAUGUUAAAUGCUACUAUGAGCACUCCCGAAUCAUAAUUUACAAUGUAUAUACAUUGUAAAUCCCAAAUCAUGAUUUCCAAAGUUUGUACAUUGUGAAUUAUGAUUCGGGAGUACUCCUAAUAGUAGCAUUUAACUUGUCUUGGUCUGUUUAUUUCUACUGCAUCUUAAUUUUAAAUUUAGUGUAGAUGUGGCCAUCAUAGGACGCUUACUUAUAGAUGCAAUAAAAUUAUUGGUUUAUUUUCAUUUUAAAUGUUAUACUUCCAGUAUUGUAUGUAUUACCUAGUAUUAAAACAUAUAUUUUUAAUUAAAAAUAUAAAUAUCUUAUUUUUAUAAUGAACAACAUUAAAUUUACUUCUUGCGGGAGUAGAAAAAAGUUAUAGUAAAUAUUUUUAACUCGUUUAGCUUUUGAUGAUAUUUGCCAUAUGUUUGUGUAAGACAUGUUUAACGAGUAGUCUAAGGACAUAUUAUUAUACUUUGUUAUACAAAAUAGACAUAAAAUUUUGAAACUUU
rnacentral:lncRNA from 1 species